GCAAGCUCUUGAUUGAAGUCCCAGUAAACGGCGGCCGUAACUAUAACGGUCCUAAGGUAGCGAAAUUCCUUGUCGGGUAAGUUCCGACCUGCACGAAUGGCGUAACGAUGGCCACACUGUCUCCUCCUGAGACUCAGCGAAGUUGAAAUGUUUGUGAUGAUGCAAUCUCCCCGCGGAAAGACGGAAAGACCCCAUGAACCUUUACUGUAGCUUUGUAUUGGACUUUGAACAGAUCUGUGUAGGAUAGGUGGGAGGCUUUGAAGUGCGGUCGCUAGAUCGCAUGGAGCCGACGUUGAAAUACCACCCUGGUGUGUUUGAGGUUCUAACCUAGGUCCCUUAUCGGGAUCGGGGACAGUGCAUGGUAGGCAGUUUGACUGGGGCGGUCUCCUCCCAAAGCGUAACGGAGGAGUUCGAAGGUACGCUAGGUACGGUCGGACAUCGUGCUAAUAGUGCAAUGGCAUAAGCGUGCUUAACUGCGAGACUGACAAGUCGAGCAGAUGCGAAAGCAGGACAUAGUGAUCCGGUGGUUCUGUAUGGAAGGGCCAUCGCUCAACGGAUAAAAGGUACUCUGGGGAUAACAGGCUGAUACCGCCCAAGAGUUCAUAUCGACGGCGGUGUUUGGCACCUCGAUGUCGGCUCAUCUCAUCCUGGGGCUGUAGCCGGUCCCAAGGGUAUGGCUGUUCGCCAUUUAAAGAGGUACGUGAGCUGGGUUUAAAACGUCGUGAGACAGUUUGGUCCCUAUCUUCCGUGGGCGCUGCAGAUUUGAGGAAGCCUGCUCCUAGUACGAGAGGACCGGAGUGGACACACCUCUGGUGUAUCGGUUGUCACGCCAGUGGCAUUGCCGAGUAGCUAAGUGUGGAAGAGAUAACCGCUGAAAGCAUCUAAGCGGGAAACUCGUUUCAAGAUGAGAUCUGCCGGGGCCUCGAGCCCCCUAAAGAGUCGUUCAAGACCAGGACGUUGAUAGGUCAGGUGUGGAAGCGCAGUAAUGCGUUAAGCUAACUGAUACUAAUUGCUCGUGCGGCUUGACCCU
rnacentral:rRNA from 1 species